rnacentral:rRNA from 1 species
AAUCAAGCGCGAAAAGGGCGUUUGGUGAAUGCCUUGGCAGUAAGAGGCGAUGAAGGACGUGAUACUCUGCGAUAAGUUAUGGGGAGCUGAGAAUAAGCUUUGAUCCAUAAAUUUCCGAAUGGGGCAACCCACCUGAUACUUUGUUAUUAAUACUACUUAUUGUAGUGCCGUUUAAGGGUUCGCCCUUGGGUAGCGUUGCAUGCGGUGGGGCAUAAUAAUAGGGUAAACCAGGUAUUUAUAACUUGAAUACAUAGGGUUAUAAAAGCAAACCCGGGGAACUGAAACAUCUAAGUACCCGGAGGAAAGGACAUCAAUUAGAUACUCCCCUAGUAGCGGCGAGCGAACGGGGACCAGCCGAGCCAUGAGUGUGACUAGAAUGUGUUGGAAAGCACAACCAAAGUGGGUGACAGUCCCGUAUAGGAAGCAUGAUUGGACGUAUUAAGUAGGGCGGGACACGUGAAAUCCUGUUCGAAGAUCGGAGGACCACCUCCGAAGGCUAAGUACUCCUUACUGACCGAUAGUGAACCAGUACCGUGAGGGAAAGGUGAAAAGCACCCCGACGAGGGGAGUGAAACAGUUUCUGAAACCGGACGCCUACAAUCAGUUGGAGGGCCCUUGCGGCCUGACAGCGUACCUUUUGUAUAAUGGGUCAUCGACUUAGUGUAUCUAGCAAGCUUAAGCCGUUAGGUGUAGGCGCAGCGAAAGCGAGUCUUAAUAGGGCGAUUGAGUUAGAUGCAUUAGACCCGAAACCGAGUGA